UUCCGUUCUUGAGAUAAGAAAGGACUGACGAACAGACGGACGACAGUGGGAUUUUAUAGAGCUCACUCAAGUGCCUAGGAUGAAAAAAAAAAGAAGAGACUGAGAGGAUGAAGGGAGGAGAAAAGAUAGGAUGAGUCAGAGAGUAUGAGGGAAAACUUAUAGAGUUUAAGAUUUAAAAAGCGAUCUAAACAGUUCUAUCAAGAUAGACGACAUACCUUGACAAAACAGUCUCUAGGAAUUAUCGACACGUGUCCUAUUUUAACCUUCUAAACUAAGAUAAAGAAGAAAAAUAAUCAAAGAUUGAUUGAGC